rnacentral:rRNA from 1 species
UACGAGUGCUCCAAGCGUUAUCCGGAAUCAUUGGGCGUAAAGGGUGUGUAGGCGGUUGUGUUAGUCUUCUGUUAAAUUCUUCGGCUUAACCGGGGGCAUGCAGGGGAAACGGCACAACUAGAGGAUGCGAGAGGUAUAUGGAACUCAUGGAGUAGGGGUGAAAUCCGUUGAUAUCAUGGGGAACACCAAAAGCGAAGGCAAUAUACUGGCGCGCUCCUGACGCUGAGACACGAAAGCGUAGGUAGCGAAUGGG